CCAAACGGGUCAAACGGUGAAAUUAUCACCCUUUGACAAUAUCGACUAAUGGGUUGUCAAGAUGCAUGAUUUUAGGAAAUAAAUAGCACAUGGAUGCUUACAUCGCUAUCGCUUAGCAACCACUAAGGAAAUGUAUUGAAAUGGGUCAAUAUAUUGAUCCGAGCCAGGUGAAGAUGGGAUAAGCGGUUUGAAAGAUACGAAAGUUUUCGUGCAAAUAAACGGCAAAAUAGGAAAGCUGGAAUGCAGGGGCCACCGUAACUUACGGUGCCACCGUAAGUUACGGUGGAGCUGAAGGCUUUACGGCAGCCCCCUACUGAUUUACGGUAGGGGCAUGUCACACCAGGGGCCACCGUAACUUACGGUGCCACCGUAAGUUACGGUGGAGGCCAGUUGGAAAUCCAUGUUUUGAGAUCAAAAGUUUAACGUUCUUUUUGGAUGCCGGAAGACGAUCAAGCUCAUCGAAGGACCGAACACGAUAAAGAUACAUGCUUCCGCACAUUUCCUCGUCGUAAAUUUUUAAACGACAAAUUCGAUCACUUAUGUUGAAUAACUUAUGAUUUGUAAAAGUUUUAAUAAACUCGUAUUUUCAUAGUA